rnacentral:rRNA from 1 species
CCUUGAAAUACCACCCUUUAAUGUUUGAUGUUCUAACGUGGACCCGUGAUCCGGGUUGCGGACAGUGUCUGGUGGGUAGUUUGACUGGGGCGGUCUCCUCCUAAAGAGUAACGGAGGAGCACGAAGGUUGGCUAAUCCUGGUCGGACAUCAGGAGGUUAGUGCAAUGGCAUAAGCCAGCUUGACUGCGAGCGUGACGGCGCGAGCAGGUGCGAAAGCAGGUCAUAGUGAUCCGGUGGUUCUGAAUGGAAGGGCCAUCGCUCAACGGAUAAAAGGUACUCCGGGGAUAACAGGCUGAUACCGCCCAAGAGUUCAUAUCGACGGCGGUGUUUGGCACCUCGAUGUCGGCUCAUCACAUCCUGGGGCUGAAGUAGGUCCCAAGGGUAUGGCUGUUCGCCAUUUAAAGUGGUACGCGAGCUGGGUUUAGAACGUCGUGAGACAGUUCGGUCCCUAUCUGCCGUGGGCGCUGGAGAACUGAGGGGGGCUGCUCCUAGUACGAGAGGACCGGAGUGGACGCAUCACUGGUGUUCGGGUUGUCAUGCCAAUGGCACUGCCCGGUAGCUAAAUGCGGAAGAGAUAAGUGCUGAAAGCAUCUAAGCACGAAACUUGCCCCGAGAUGAGUUCUCCCUGAGACUUAAAGUCUCCUGAAGGAACGUUGAAGACGACGACGUUGA